GACGAACGCUGGCGGUGUGCUUAACACAUGCAAGUCGAACGGUAAGGCCCUUUCGGGGGUACACGAGUGGCGAACGGGUGAGUAACACGUGAGUAACCUGCCCUCAUCUCUGGGAUAACAGUCGGAAACGGUUGCUAAUACUGGAUAUGAGCUUGCAAGGCAUCUUGUGGGUUGGAAAGAUUUUUUUGGUUGGGGAUGGACUCGCGGCCUAUCAGCUUGUUGGUGAGGUAGUGGCUCACCAAGGCUUCGACGGGUAGCCGGCCUGAGAGGGCGACCGGCCACAUUGGGACUGAGAUACGGCCCAAACUCCUACGGGAGGCAGCAGUGGGGAAUAUUGCACAAGGGACGGAAGUCUGAUGCAGCAACGCCGCGUGCGGGAUGACGGACUUCGGGUUGUAAACCGCUUUCAAUUGUGACGAAGCUUUUUGUGACGGUAGCAGUAGAAGAAGCACCGGCUAACUACGUG
rnacentral:rRNA from 1 species